AUUGAACGCUGGCGGCAGGCCUAACACAUGCAAGUCGAACGCGUGGCGGACGGGUGAGUAAUGUCUGGGAAACUGCCUGAUGGAGGGGGAUAACUACUGGAAACGGUAGCUAAUACCGCAUACCCUCAGAUGUGCCCAGAUGGGAUUAGCUUGUUGGUGGGGUAACGGCUCACCAAGGCGACGAUCCCUAGCUGGUCUUAGAGGAUGACCAGCCAAACUGGAAAUGAGACAGGGGCCAGACGCCUACGGGAGGCAGAAGGGGGAAAUAUUGGACAAUGGGCGCAAGCCGGAUGCAGCCAGGCCGGGGGUUUGAAGAAGGCCUUCGGGGUGUAAAGUACGUUCAGCGGGGAGGCGUUACCCGCAGAAGAAGCACCGGCUAACUCCGUGCCAGCAGCCGCGGUAAUAC
rnacentral:rRNA from 1 species